UACGAAGGGGGGCUAGCGUUGUUCGGAUUUACUGGGCGUAAAGCGCACGUAGGCGGAUCGAUCAGUCAGGGGUGAAAUCCCAGAGCUCAACUCUGGAACUGCCUUUGAUACUGUCGAUCUGGAGUAUGGAAGAGGUGAGUGGAACUGCGAGUGUAGAGGUGAAAUUCGUAGAUAUUCGCAAGAACACCAGUGGCGAAGGCGGCUCACUGGCCCGGUACUGACGCUGAGGUGCGAAAGCGUGGGGAGCAAACAGG
rnacentral:rRNA from 1 species